UCUUGUUCUGAUUCUGGUUUGUUGCAGUUCGGAGAAUUGACGUUUAAAGCGGAGAUUUUGUCUCGUAAAAGUUAAUAUUAGAAUUCAGUUUUGUGCAAUUUUAUCAUGGUUUCGAACAAAAGCAGAUGCCUACACUAAAGUAUCUGUGAAAGCACAGAGAAAGACUUCUGCCUUAAAGGUUGAAAGUUCUCCUUCAUCAUCAAAAGCUGGGAAGACCGAUAGAUAUGCUGGAGGAAAUCCUUAUUGUCCUCGACCAACCCCAUCCUGGCAGAAACCUAUUACUAAUUUUUUUUCUAAAGGAGAAGGUUCCAGUUUAAAUGAUGAAAAUGGAGAGUCUGUUCCAGGGUUGUAGCAAGGACUCUGAUUGUACCCCAUUAAAUCUAGAUGUAAGUGGGAAUAUAGAGCCAUGCUGCAGUGAAGACACCCAAAGCAAUUUGGAAAUCGAAAAUGCCGAAAACGUAGAUCCUUCUGAAAAUGAAAUGAAAGAAACAAACAAUGAUGAGAAAGAAUAAUAUUCUUCAUGUUGCAAAUCUUGUAAACUUUCAUACUUCAUCUUGUAAAAUGUUUCUGUGUAUAUUUUUUUAUGUUUGAAGUUCCUUUAA